GAGGGUGUAGCUCAAGUGGUAGAGCACAUGCUUGGCGUGCACGAGGUCCUGGGUUCAGUCCCCACGACCUCC
rnacentral:tRNA from 1 species